rnacentral:rRNA from 1 species
AUGAACGCUGGCGGCGUGCCUAAUACAUGCAAGUCGAGCGAACAGACGAGGAGCUUGCUCCUCUGACGUUAGCGGCGGACGGGUGAGUAACACGUGGAUAACCUACCUAUAAGACUGGGACAACUUCGGGAAACCGGAGCUAAUACCGGAUAAUAUAUUGAACCGCAUGGUUCAAUAGUGAAAGACGGUUUUGCUGUCACUUAUAGAUGGAUCCGCGCCGCAUUAGCUAGUUGGUAAGGUAACGGCUUACCAAGGCGACGAUGCGUAGCCGACCUGAGAGGGUGAUCGGCCACACUGGAACUGAGACACGGUCCAGACUCCUACGGGAGGCAGCAGUAGGGAAUCUUCCGCAAUGGGCGAAAGCCUGACGGAGCAACGCCGCGUGAGUGAUGAAGGUCUUCGGAUCGUAAAACUCUGUUAUUAGGGAAGAACAAAUGUGUAAGUAACUAUGCACGUCUUGACGGUACCUAAUCAGAAAGCCACGGCUAACUACGUG